AGAGUUUGAUCCUGGCUCAGAUUGAACGCUGGCGGCAGGCCUAACACAUGCAAGUCGAGCGGUAGCACAGAGAGCUUGCUCUCGGGUGACGAGCGGCGGACGGGUGAGUAAUGUCUGGGAAACUGCCUGAUGGAGGGGGAUAACUACUGGAAACGGUAGCUAAUACCGCAUAAUGUCGCAAGACCAAAGUGGGGGACCUUCGGGCCUCAUGCCAUCAGAUGUGCCCAGAUGGGAUUAGCUAGUAGGUGGGGUAACGGCUCACCUAGGCGACGAUCCCUAGCUGGUCUGAGAGGAUGACCAGCCACACUGGAACUGAGACACGGUCCAGACUCCUACGGGAGGCAGCAGUGGGGAAUAUUGCACAAUGGGCGCAAGCCUGAUGCAGCCAUGCCGCGUGUGUGAAGAAGGCCUUCGGGUUGUAAAGCACUUUCAGCGGGGAGGAAGGCGUUAAGGUUAAUAACCUUGGCGAUUGACGUUACCCGCAGAAGAAGCACCGGCUAACUCCGUGCCAGCAGCCGCGGUAAUACGGAGGGUGCAAGCGUUAAUCGGAAUUACUGGGCGUAAAGCGCACGCAGGCGGUCUGUCAAGUCGGAUGUGAAAUCCCCGGGCUCAACCUGGGAACUGCAUUCGAAACUGGCAGGCUAGAGUCUUGUAGAGGGGGGUAGAAUUCCAGGUGUAGCGGUGAAAUGCGUAGAGAUCUGGAGGAAUACCGGUGGCGAAGGCGGCCCCCUGGACAAAGACUGACGCUCAGGUGCGAAAGCGUGGGGAGCAAACAGGAUUAGAUACCCUGGUAGUCCACGCCGUAAACGAUGUCGAUUUGGAGGUUGUGCCCUUGAGGCGUGGCUUCCGGAGCUAACGCGUUAAGUCGACCGCCUGGGGAGUACGGCCGCAAGGUUAAAACUCAAAUGAAUUGACGGGGGCCCGCACAAGCGGUGGAGCAUGUGGUUUAAUUCGAUGCAACGCGAAGAACCUUACCUGGUCUUGACAUCCACAGAACUUUCCAGAGAUGGAUUGGUGCCUUCGGGAACUGUGAGACAGGUGCUGCAUGGCUGUCGUCAGCUCGUGUUGUGAAAUGUUGGGUUAAGUCCCGCAGCGAGCGCAACCCUUAUCCUUUGUUGCCAGCGGUUCGGCCGGGAACUCAAAGGAGACUGCCAGUGAUAAACUGGAGGAAGGUGGGGAUGACGUCAAGUCAUCAUGGCCCUUACGACCAGGGCUACACACGUGCUACAAUGGCAUAUACAAAGAGAAGCGACCUCGCGAGAGCAAGCGGACCUCAUAAAGUAUGUCGUAGUCCGGAUUGGAGUCUGCAACUCGACUCCAUGAAGUCGGAAUCGCUAGUAAUCGUAGAUCAGAAUGCUACGGUGAAUACGUUCCCGGGCCUUGUACACACCGCCCGUCACACCAUGGGAGUGGGUUGCA
rnacentral:rRNA from 1 species